AUACGGAGGAUCCGAGCGUUAUCCGGAUUUAUUGGGUUUAAAGGGUGCGCAGGCGGCCAUUUAAGUCGGCGGUUAAAUCGUGGGGCUCAACCCCAUUCUGCCGUUGAUACUGGGUGGCUUGAUUGCGGUCGAGGUUGGCGGAAUUCGUUGUGUAGCGGUGAAAUGCAUAGAUAUGACGAAGAACACCGAUUGCGUAGGCAGCUGACCAGACCGCAAAUGACGCUCAUGCACGAAAGUGCGGGGAUCGAACAGGAUUAGAUACCCUGGUAGUCCGCACAGUAAACGAUGGACACCCGCGGUUUGGCCUGUAUGGCUGAGCCGCCAAGCGAAAGCGUUAAGUGUCCCACCUGGGGAGUACGCCGGCAACGGUGAAACUCAAAGGAAUUGACGGGG
rnacentral:rRNA from 1 species